AGUCAAGUAAUCAAGUUGUGAAUGUAAAUUAAUGUUAAAGAUCACUACAUAUAUAAAACAUAAAGCUCUAAAGUGGAAAACUCUAGUAUGAACUUGUUAAAUAUUGGAUAAAAUGGGGAUAACCAAUUUUGUCAAAAUAUGUGUGGAAGUUGUGUAACAAAGGUCAUAUUAAUUAAUUGUUGCUAUACAAGAUGAAAGGUCUCUUUGUUUUAAAAUUUGUGUAUCUAUUGGAAGUAAUACUGUUUGGUGAAAUUUCUUAUGAUGACGAAGACAUAGAGAAGCAGGUGAAACACUUUCUAAAGACAAAGUCGAAUCUUGAACAAAGGAUAUUGUGCUAUGAUGCACCAACUGAUAAGAUGUUACCAUUAGAAGUUACUUUUAUUCGCCUAUGAAUUUUAAAUUCAUUCUUAAACUCAUGAAAAGCCUUUUUUAGUCUGGAUGACACAAGUGUUUUUAGGAGAAACAAACGUUUUGUAAAACUUCAAACGUGGAAAAUGAAACAAAUGUGGAAAAUCAUCUCAUUUUCAGAUUAAAUGACAAAAGCUUUCAUGUCUGUGAAGUCAAGUAAUCAAGUUGUGAAUGUAAAUUAGUGUUACAGAUCACUACAUUUAUAAAACAUAAAGCUCUAAAGUGGAAAACUCUAGUAUGAACUUGUUAAAUAUUGGGUAAAAUGGGGAUAACCAAUUUUGUCAAAAUGUGUGUGGAAGUGGUGUAACAAAGGUCAUAUUAAUUAAU
rnacentral:sRNA from 1 species